rnacentral:rRNA from 1 species
GUUGUCCUACGGGACGCAGCAGGGAAUUUUCGUCAAUGGGCGCAAGCCUGAACGAGCAAUGCCGCGUGAACGAGGAAGGUCUUCGGAUCGUAAAGUUCUGUUGAAGGGGAAAAAGAGCGGAGAGAGGAAAUGGUCUCCGAUUGAUAUUACCCUUCGAGGAAGUCACGGCUAACUACGUGCCAGCAGCCGCGGUAAUACAUAGGGAGCGAGCGUUAUCCGGAUUUAUUGGGUGUAAAGGGUGCGUAGACGGGAAUACAAGUUGG